UACGAGGGGAGCAAGCGUUGUUCGGAAUCAUUGGGCGUAAAGGGCGCGUAGGCGGCCGUACCAGUCUGGGGUGAAAGCCCUCGGCUCAACCGAGGAAUUGCCUUGGAAACUGUACGGCUUGAGUAUUGGAGAGGAAAGCGGAAUUCCCAGUGUAGCGGUGAAAUGCGUAGAUAUUGGGAGGAACACCUGUGGCGAAGGCGGCUUUCUGGACAAUCACUGACGCUGAGGCGCGAAAGCCAGGGGAGCAAACGGG
rnacentral:rRNA from 1 species